rnacentral:rRNA from 1 species
UACGUAGGGUGCAAGCGUUGCCCGGAUUUAUUGGGCGUAAAGGGCGCGUAGGCGGCUCGGCACGUCCGUUGUGAAAUCGCCCGGCUCAACUGGGCGGGGUCAGCGGAUACGGUCGAGCUUGAGCAAGCUAGGGGGCAAUGGAAUUCCCGGUGUAGUGGUGGAAUGCGUAGAUAUCGGGAGGAACACCAGUGGCGAAGGCGGCUUUCUGGGCCUUACCUGACGCUGAGACGGCGAAAGCGUGGGGAGCGAAC